GGGAGGCAGCAGUAGGGAAUCUUCCGCAAUGGACGAAAGUCUGACGGAGCAACGCCGCGUGAGUGAUGAAGGCUUUCGGGUCGUAAAACUCUGUUGUUAGGGAAGAACAAGUGCUAGUUGAAUAAGCUGGCACCUUGACGGUACCUAACCAGAAAGCCACGGCUAACUACGUGCCAGCAGCCGCGGUAAUACGUAGGUGGCAAGCGUUAUCCGGAAUUAUUGGGCGUAAAUCGCGCGCAGGUGGUUUCUUAAGUCUGAUGUGAAAGCCCACGGCUCAACCGUGGAGGGUCAUUGGAAACUGGGAGACUUGAGUGCAGAAGAGGAAAGUGGAAUUCCAUGUGUAGCGGUGAAAUGCGUAGAGAUAUGGAGGAACACCAGUGGCGAAGGCGACUUUCUGGUCUGUAACUGACACUGAGGCGCGAAAGCGUGGGGAGCAAACAGGAUUAGAUACCCUGGUAGUCCACGCCGUAAACGAUGAGUGCUAAGUGUUAGAGGGUUU
rnacentral:rRNA from 1 species